rfam:Asian citrus Psyllid, Diaphorina citri - Florida Strain, whole genome shotgun sequence.
GCCCGCGGUGAUAGCACGUUGAAUACACCAGUUCUCAAUGGAUCACUGAAGUUAAGCAACGUUGAGCAUGGUUGGUAUCCGGAUGGGUGACCAUGUGGGCAAUGGCGUACUGCUGGCU